GAUGAACGCUGGCGGCGUGCCUAAUACAUGCAAGUCGAACGCUGGAAAUCUAGCUUGCUGGAUUGAAGGAGUGGCGAACGGGUGAGUAAUACAUAAGCAACCUACCCACGAAGACUGGGAUAAUCUCUGGAAACGGGGACUAAUACCGGAUAGGUAAUCGGAAGGCAUCUUCUGAUUAUUAAAGGUUAAAAACACUGGUGGAUGGGCUUAUGGCGCAUUAGUUAGUUGGUGAGGUAACGGCCCACCAAGACGAUGAUGCGUAGCCGGCCUGAGAGGGUGAACGGCCACAUUGGGACUGAGACACGGCCCAGACUACUACGGGAGGCAGCAGUAGGGAACUUUCGGCAAUGGGGGAAAACCUGACCGAGCAACGCCGAGUGAGUGAUGACGGCCUUCGGGUUGUAAAGCUCUGUUGUAAGGGAAGAACGGUAGAUAGAGAAUAUCUAAAUGACGGUACCUUACCAGAAAGCCACGGCUAACUACGUG
rnacentral:rRNA from 1 species